GGUCGUGUAGCUAAAUGGUAAUAGCGCAAAUGCCUUCCUAUUUGAGAUCCCGGUUCGACUCUGGGCACGACCA
rfam:Exidia glandulosa HHB12029 unplaced genomic scaffold EXIGLscaffold_2, whole genome shotgun sequence.